UUGUGGGAUGCCUCUUCAAUCUCAGGUGGGCCUAUGCAUUCACUUGAAGGGUGCAAGGCUGCAAGGUUCAGUAAUUCUGGGAGUAUCUUUGCCACCUUAACAACUGAGCCAGCUCAACGAGAAAUUCUCCUUUAUGAUGUCCAAACCUGUCAUGUGGAGUCAGCCAUGUCAGAUUCAAUUUUGAGUUCUACAGGUCGGGGGCAUGUAUAUUCCCUUGUACACUUUAGCCCUUCAGAUACAAUGUUGCUUUGGAAUGGGGUCUUGUG
rnacentral:misc_RNA from 1 species